rnacentral:rRNA from 1 species
GAUGAACGCUGGCGGCGUGCCUAAUACAUGCAAGUCGAGCGAACGUACGAGAAGCUUGCUUCUCUGAUGUUAGCGGCGGACGGGUGAGUAACACGUGACUAACCUACCUAUAAGACUGGGAUAACUUCGGGAAACCGGAGCUAAUACCGGAUGAUAUUUUUAACCGCAUGGUUCAAAAGUGAAAGACGGUCUUGCUGUCACUUAUAGAUGGUUCCGCGCUGCAUUAGCUAGUUGGUAAGGUAACGGCUUACCAAGGCAACGAUGCAUAGCCGACCUGAGAGGGUGAUCGGCCACACUGGAACUGAGACACGGUCCAGACUCCUACGGGAGGCAGCAGUAGGGAAUCUUCCGCAAUGGGCGAAAGCCUGACGGAGCAACGCCGCGUGAGUGAUGAAGGUCUUCGGAUCGUAAAACUCUGUUAUUAGGGAAGAACAUAUGUGUAAGUAACUGUGCACAUCUUGACGGUACCUAAUCAGAAAGCCACGGCUAACUACGUG